GGACAGUGGCUUAAUUUGACUCAACGCGGGAAAUCUUACCGGGUCCGGACACACUGAGGAUUGACAGGUAUUAUAUAAUUGCUCUUCGGAGCUUUUAUUGUUAAAUAUGCUAGUCCUUUCAUGAUUAUGUGAUAGGUGGUGCAUGGCCGUUCUUAGUUCGUGGAGUGAUCUGUCUGCUUAAUUGCGUUUCACUAUAAGGAUCUAUAUUCUUUACAGUGUGCAGUGCAUUGACCCCUUCUUCGGAAGCGUGUGUCUUUACGCUCACACUUCAUUAGGUCCUGAAAGCAACGAACGUGACCGCAACCUCUUGUUGCCUCUGUGCUCCUACACGCUCAAUGCGCUAAACACUGGUUUUCUAGCUUAGUGCGUUGGUUGAGGCUUUCUUAAACUAGAGGGACCGCUGUCAACUUCUUAAACCAGAGGAAGGUUGCGGCAAUAACAGGCCUGUGA
rnacentral:rRNA from 1 species